UGGGGAAUCUUGGACAAUGGGCGCAAGCCUGAUCCAGCCAUGCCGCGUGAGUGAUGAAGGCCCUAGGGUCGUAAAGCUCUUUCGCCUGUGAAGAUAAUGACGGUAGCAGGUAAAGAAACCCCGGCUAACUCCGUGCCAGCAGCCGCGGUAAUACGGAGGGGGUUAGCGUUGUUCGGAAUUACUGGGCGUAAAGCGCGCGUAGGCGGAUCAGUCAGUCAGAGGUGAAAUCCCGAAGCUCAACUUCGGAACUGCCUUUGAUACUGCUGAUCUGGAGUCCGGGAGAGGUGCAUGGAAUUCCGAGUGUAGAGGUGAAAUUCGUAGAUAUUCGGUGGAACACCAGUGGCGAAGGCGGCUAACUGGACUGAUACUGACGCUGAGGUGCGAAAGUGUGGGGAGCAAACAGG
rnacentral:rRNA from 1 species